AUUUAAAUAAUUUAAUUAAAAUAUUGAUUUGUGGAAUCAAAUAUAUAUAUAUACUCUAUAUUUUAAAUU
rnacentral:tRNA from 1 species